CCUACGGGAGGCAGCAGUGAGGAAUAUUGGUCAAUGGGCGUACGCCUGCACCAGCCAAGUCGCGUGAGGGAUGAAGGUUCUGUGGAUCUUAAACCUCUUUUAUAAGGGAAUAAAGUGUGGGACGUGUCCUAUUUUGUAUGUACCUUCUGAAUAAGGAUCGGCUAACUCCGUGCCAUCAGCCGCGGUAAUACGGAGGAUCCGAGCGUUUUCCUGAUUUUUUGGUGUUAAAGGGUGCGUAGGCGGCCUUUUACGGCAGCGGUGAAGGUCUGUGGCUCAACCAUAGAAUUGCCGUUGAAACUGGGGGGCGUGAGUAUGUGUGAGGCAGGCGGAAUGCGUGGUGUAGCGGUGAAAUGCUUAGAUAUCACGCAGAACCCCGAUUGCGAAGGCAGCCUGCCAAGCCAUGACUGACGCUGAUGCACGAAAGCGUGGGGAUCAAACAGGAUUAGAUACCCGAGUAGUC
rnacentral:rRNA from 1 species